ACUGCGCCUGCGCGCCGUCGUAUCGAGCCCUAAGGCUCAGGAUUUGGCAGGUGGACGCUGGCAGGGAUGCACGGCUCCCCUCCCCCUCGGCUCUCGUGGGGCGCUUGUUCCGUCGUCUGGGAGGCGACCGGGGAUGGGUCAGCGAUCAUCCUGGAUGAAGGGAAAGAAAUCCAACCCGCCCCACAAGUUCUGUGUACUUGUGGUGAGAAAGUUCCAUGCGGUAUGCCAACUUACCCGGCUGCAUGGUGCAGUAGGAGCGCCGUGGGCCCCAGCCCUCGCCCUCUUCCCGGGCGCGAGCCGCAGCCGUUGGCCAUUGUCUUGAGGCUGGCGCCGCUCGCGCAGCCUCGGGCCAGCGGGAGGUACCGCUGCCACGGGGCCCGGCCGCUCACCCAGUGAACGCGUCUCCUAGAAAGAUACCGUUUAUACCCCAUUCCACCCCCUCUUUCCCGUUCAACCCCCCCUGAAUGUUUAAGGAUAACCUGACGACGACUCCUGUGAAGCAGAGACGCCAAUAUUGACCUGCGGUAUUUAGCUCGACGUUAUGCAUGCAAUUCACCGAGUAUUUACCGUGUCCGCUGCCUAUAUUGCUUUCCUCGGUUCAGUGCUGCAUCGUGCGAUUCUCGCCAUGGGAUUUGGGGUGGACUCCUUCACAAGCAGAGAGAAGGUCAUUGAUGAUACAGCUCAAGGUGCUACACUGAGGAACACAGAGAUACCCUGGAGGUGAAGUGACUGAACUCCAACAACCACAACCAUCUUCCUUUGAGCUAGGUUAGUACAAUAGAUUACUGCUUUAACGACAGUCAAGAAGCUUGACACCAUCAAAGGAAAAGCAGCUACACUUGAUUUGCAUCCUAUCCAUCAAGUUAAAGAUUCAUCUCCUUCACCUCAGCAUAACGUGGUUGUAUUAUAUUCCACCUACAAUUUACAUAGCAGGAACCAACCAAGCCUUUGACAGAACUUUCCAAACUCAUGACCUCUACAACCUGAGAAGGACAAGACAAUACGAUGGAAACGCCACCAACUACAAGUUCUCCUCCAAGCCACAUACCCUUCUUACUUACAACCACGUUGCCAUUCUUUCAUUAUUGCUGGGACAACAUCCUGGAAUCACAGCGCUGUAGAUAUACCUGCACCACAUGGAGUGCAGCAGUUCAAGAAACAGCUAACCACCACCUUCUCAAGUGUAAUUAAGAAUGGACAAGAAAUGCUGAUUUGGCCUAUGAUAUUUGCUUCUGUAAAACAAUUUUUAAAAACAUCAGGCUGGAGGAAUGGGUAGGCACAUAGCAGAUGAAAGUCAGUACAAAAAUUGUGGAGUGUUACAUUUUGAUACUGAGACUGAAGGGAGACAAUAGGUGCUAAAUACUGUAAUUUUAAAUGGGUUACAAUAGAGAGACCCAAAGGUCUCUCAAGUUGGCAACACACGUUAAUAUAUAGUUAAUAAAGCUUACGCGAUUUGGCUUCAUGAAUAGGGGUUAAGAGUACCUCAGGUAGGAAGUCUAUACUAUGCACCUAUAUAAAACUCAAGUUCAGUCCCAGCUGGAAAAUUAGAUCCAGUUGCAGGCACUUUACGAAGAACAUUCAGAGAUUACAGAAGGGAUUUAUUAAAAUGAUGAAUAAUUACAUGGAUGGACUGCAGAAGCUAAGAUUUUUCUGCUUUGAACAGAGAAGGUUAAGAGGAGAUUAUAGUGGGAUUUGAAUCAUGAAGAAUUUAGAUUCAGGGUGUACAGUAAAUAAAGAGAAACUUUUUCCAAUGGCUGAAUAAUUGAAAACUAUGGUGUACAGACUUAAGUUGAUUGGUAAGACAAUCACAGGCGACAUGACCAUAAAUUAUUUAAUGUAAUGAGUAGUUAGGAGUUGGAAAUCAUUGCCUGAUAGGGUAGUGGAUACAGAUUCAAAUCCAGUCCUUUAAAAAUAAUUGAGCAGAUACUUGAAGAAGAAAAAUGCAAGGAUGUGAAGAAAGAGCACAGGAAUGGAACUAACUCUUUGACCAAGCUGAUAGCAACGUGCUAAAUCAUCACUUCUUGUGCAAACUAUUCUAAAAUUCUAAGGCUGAAUUUUCACAUUUGCAGUUAAAAGGUGAUGGCAAGCAAGUUUCAUGACAACUCCACCAUACCUGAGCCAUCUUUUCUCAUGCUAUCUUAUGCUUUUGACCUUAUUAAUUAUGCAAAUGAGAUGUUGUUUGUCUUACUCGCUGAAUCUCAUGAUGAUUCUCAUCACCCUGCUACAGGAAAGAUGUUGUGAAACUUGAAAGAGUUCAGAAAAAAUU